rnacentral:RNase_P_RNA from 1 species
AUUUUUGGAUAAUCGCGUGGUAGCGUGCUACCAUGAGGAAAGUCCAUGCUAGCACCGGCUGUGAUGCUGGUAGUGUUUGUGCUAGGCGAAUCCAUAAGCCUAGGGACGUAGCGAUACGUUACGGCGGUCAAAUUGGCUAAGUCCUUGGAUAAGCCAUAGUAGACCUGAAAGUGCCACAGUGACGAAGUUUUUAUGGAAACGUAAAAAAUGGAACGCGGUAAACCCCUCAAGCUAGCAACCCAAACUUUGGUCGGGGCAUGGGAAAGCUGGAAUCCGAACGGUCUUUCCUGACUGCAUAAGCGGUAGACAGAUGAUUAUCGAAGGCGGCAGAGCCUAGUGCCGCUGGAACAAAACAUGGCUUAUAGAA